rnacentral:rRNA from 1 species
UCGGGAAUUUUGGGCAAUGGGCGAAAGCCUGACCCAGCAACGCCGCGUGAAGGAUGAAGUAUUUCGGUAUGUAAACUUCGAAAGAAUAGGAAGAAUAAAUGACGGUACUAUUAUAAGGUCCGGCUAACUACGUGCCAGCAGCCGCGGUAAUACGUAGGGACCAAGCGUUGUUCGGAUUUACUGGGCGUAAAGGGCGCGUAGGCGGCAUGACAAGUCACUUGUGAAAUCUCUGGGCUUAACCCAGAACGGCCAAGUGAUACUGUCGCGCUAGGGUGCAGAAGGGGCAAUCGGAAUUCUUGGUGUAGCGGUGAAAUGCGUAGAUAUCAAGAGGAACACCUGAGGUGAAGACGGGUUGCUGGGCUGACACUGACGCUGAGGCGCGAAAGCCAGGGGAGCAAACGGGAUUAGAUACCCACGUAGUCCCUGAGCGGGCUGGCAAGGCGCAU